GAACGUUUUGCUGCUUUGCGUCAACUUUCUUCAACGAUUACGGAACUCCGACUCGGAUCAACACCGUCAAAGUGCUAGUCAAAAACGUUCCGGACUUUAGCGCUUCCCGAGAAAAGAACGAUCUGGGCGUCCUGACGUUCGAUCUCAAGGUUGUUCAACUGAAGCGUGAAGCAGCUAUUCUUGUAUUUGACCAGACGGAACAAAACGGGGCAAAAUCAUACUGCGAGGCGAAAACUCCCUGCAGGACUUCAAGAACAUGAAAACUAAGUCCUUAUUCUGGGACGAUGGAAAUGCGGCCCCCAGAACGUGACGCUGAUACUUUCCUGGAACAUCGUUCAAAGUGCAGAACUACUUCCAAAUGUAUUUCUCAUGGACAUCAUUCGUUCAAGUUCCCGGAAUCCUACAUGCCGUCGCCGAUCUAAACUAAAGCUUGCAAAAACUUAGAAGAAGAACUUAAAAAAAUACACAAAACCCCUACAAGAGCUUAUCGAUGAUUAGAAAAUUGCUCAAAGAAAAACGAAUCGAUACUAAAAUAAGCCACCAAAGAAUUCGUUUUUCGCCGAACUGUAGCUGACGACGAUGCAGCAUUUCCAUUUAUUCCAUUCUGAUUAUUAAGAUUUUUGUUUGCAAAUUGGAGCUGCCUUUCUCAACAUCAUCCAUCAUCAAUGAAAAAACCAAACUACAGGAACA